AUGGGUGAAGGGACCACCAGAGGGAGGAGCCGCUUGUCCUCUAUGCAGCAUGCCCUCCAGCUGCUGUGCAUCAGCAUGGUCUACCCCAGCUAAAGCUGAGAAGGAGCACAAUGCAAAAGGACACUGAAAAAUCACAGAAAGUGGAACACUGUCACUAAGGAAGACCAUCCACUACUACUAAGCAAUGGCCUAGGGAAAGUCUGCUGGGAGAUCCUGGUUUGUGCAUUCCCACAAGUGACCCUUGGCAUAGAUGAGUCCUGUAUGAAAAACAAAUCGCAAACUGCUGUGACUAUUGGAACUGAAAAUGUAAUGACAACAUUUGCAUUGUAUUCCUCUCCUGGUUGCACUUCGAAGUUGUGAAGUUCCAUCAGUUUGGGGGACAAAUCUCUACCAAGGAUGUUCUACUUGCUGCUCAGCUUACACUUGUUCACUUGCAUCAGAAGUCAGAAGGA